rnacentral:rRNA from 1 species
AGGGAAUCUUCCGCAAUGGGCGAAAGCCUUACGGAGCAACGCCGCGUGAGUGAUGAAGGUCUUCGGAUCGUAAAACUCUGUUAUUAGGGAAGAACAAACGUGUAAGUAACUGUGCACGUCUUGACGGUACCUAAUCAGAAAGCCACGGCUAACUACGUGCCAGCAGCCGCGGUAAUACGUAGGUGGCAAGCGUUAUCCGGAAUUAUUGGGCGUAAAGCGCGCGUAGGCGGUUUUUUAAGUCUGAUGUGAAAGCCCACGGCUCAACCGUGGAGGGUCAUUGGAAACUGGAAAACUUGAGUGCAGAAGAGGAAAGUGGAAUUCCAUGUGUAGCGGUGAAAUGCGCAGAGAUAUGGAGGAACACCAGUGGCGAAGGCGACUUUCUGGUCUGUAACUGACGCUGAUGUGCGAAAGCGUGGGGAUCAAACAGGAUUAGAUACCCUGGUAGUCCACGCCGUAAACGAUGAGUGCUAAGUGUUAGGGGGUUUCCGCCCCUUAGUGCUGCAGCUAACGCAUUAAGCACUCCGCCUGGGGAGUACGACCGCAAGGUUG